AAUUGGAGGCCCGCAGAACAGCUGAGCUGUGGCUGGAGUACUCAGAUGAAACUUCCGAAAAAGCCCAAGGAAGACAAAUAGGACCAGCCAAUCUGACUCACAGCAUGUGACUUGCAAUUUGGACGCAUGGGCCCCUCCAAGGUGGCAAAGGGCAUUCUCAACUCCAGUUUCAGCCCCUUCUGAAGACAUCUGCAAACCCCAGUAUCCAAAUAUUCAGACACCCAGAGAGAAUGGAGCACCCUGACUCUGUGAGGAUGUUUAGUGGCUCAGCUGCAGCCCUAGGAGCAAAGGUGAUUGCACAACAGGAACCGCUGGACUGUCUGGAAAUGAUUCUCGACCUAGCAACUGCUGUUUCUGCUCAAGACCCAGGGAUCCACCUACCUGCUCACCUCUGCCACUCAUGUUCUAUGCAGGUCCUGGGUGAAAGGUUCCAAGACAAGCGCAGAACAGAGGACCCAUAGAAGAUAAGACUGCCUGGAUCUGUAUGUACCAUGAUACCCGUGUGUGUGUG